rnacentral:rRNA from 1 species
CCUACGGGAGGCAGCAGUGAGGAAUAUUGGUCAAUGGGCGCGAGCCUGAACCAGCCAAGUAGCGUGAAGGAAGACUGCCCUACGGGUUGUAAACCUCUUUUAUAAAGGAAUAAAGUGAGGCACGUGUGCCUUUUUGUGUGUACUUUAUGAAUAAGCAUCGGCUAACUCCGUGCCAGCAGCCGCGGUAAUACGGAGGAUCCGAGCGUUAUCCGGAUUUAUUGGGUUUAAAGGGGGCGUAGAUGGGUUGUUAAGUCAGUUGUGAAAGUUUGCGGCUCAACCGUAAAAUUGCAAUUGAUACUGGCAGCCUUGAGUACAGUUGAGGUAAGCGGAAUUCGUGGUGUAGCGGUGAAAUGCUUAGAUAUCACGAAGAACUCCGAUUGCGAAGGCAGCUUUCUAAACUGCCACUGACAUUGAUGCUCGAAAGUGUGGGUAUCAAACAGGAUUAGAUACCCUUGUAGUC